CGGCGGACGGGUGAGUAAUGCCUAGGAAUCUGCCUGGUAGUGGGGGACAACGUUUCGAAAGGAACGCUAAUACCGCAUACGUCCUACGGGAGAAAGCAGGGGACCUUCGGGCCUUGCGCUAUCAGAUGAGCCUAGGUCGGAUUAGCUAGUUGGUGAGGUAAUGGCUCACCAAGGCGACGAUCCGUAACUGGUCUGAGAGGAUGAUCAGUCACACUGGAACUGAGACACGGUCCAGACUCCUACGGGAGGCAGCAGNG
rnacentral:rRNA from 1 species